CCGGCCCGGACACUGUGAGGAUUGACGGAUUGAUAGCUCUUUCUUGAUUCGGUGGGUGGUGGUGCAUGGCAGUUCUUAGUUGGUGGAGCGAUUUGUCUGGUUAAUUCCGAUAACGAACGAGACUUUAACCUGCUAAAUAGUAGACUGGUCCUCUGUGCUCGUUUAGGGUGCGACUUCUAUUGCUUCUUUAUGGAGUAGUGUGGUCGUGAUCCGGCGGGUGAGGUCCCAGUUUUUACUUCUUAGAGGGACAAGCGGCACACCUAAGUCGUACGAAAUUGGGCAAUAACAGGUCUGUGAUGCCCUUAGAUGUCCUGGGCCACAAGUGCGCUACAAUGACGGUGCCAGCGAGUCUGGAAACCUGGCUCGAAAGGGUUGGGCAAACUGUUUCAUCAACGUCGUGACUGGGAUCGGGGAUUGCAAUUAUUCCCCGUGAAUGAGGAAUUCCUAGUAAGUGCAAGUCAUAAGCUUGCGCUAAUUACGUCGUUGCCCUUUGUACACACCGCCCGUCGCUACUAUCGAUUGAAUGGUUUAGUGAGGUCGUUGUAGUGGCUUUGCCGCUCGACUGAUGCUGAGAUGACCAGAAUACUCUGGAAUCUUCUCAUUUAAAAACUAUAAAUAUACUAACGUUUUCCCUAUUGUGCUUCUUACUUCCAUCUAACCUUUUUAUUUGGAAUAUAA
rnacentral:ncRNA from 1 species